rnacentral:rRNA from 1 species
AUUGAACGCUGGCGGCAUGCCUUACACAUGCAAGUCGAACGGUAACGCGGGGCAACCUGGCGACGAGUGGCGAACGGGUGAGUAAUAUAUCGGAACGUGCCCAGUUGUGGGGGAUAACUGCUCGAAAGAGCAGCUAAUACCGCAUACGACCUGAGGGUGAAAGCGGGGGAUCGCAAGACCUCGCGCAAUUGGAGCGGCCGAUAUCAGAUUAGGUAGUUGGUGGGGUAAAGGCCUACCAAGCCGACGAUCUGUAGCUGGUCUGAGAGGACGACCAGCCACACUGGGACUGAGACACGGCCCAGACUCCUACGGGAGCCAGCAGUGGGGAAUUUUGGACAAUGGGGGCAACCCUGAUCCAGCCAUGCCGCGUGCGGGAAGAAGGCCUUCGGGUUGUAAACCGCUUUUGUCAGGGAAGAAAAGACUCCUACUAAUACUGGGGGUUCAUGACGGUACCUGAAGAAUAAGCACCGGCUAACUACGUGCCAGCAGCCGCCGCGG